rnacentral:rRNA from 1 species
UUCCGUAGGUGAACCUGAACCUGCGGAGGGAUCAUUACCGAGUUUACAACUCCCAAACCCCUGUGAACAUACCACUUGUUGCCUCGGCGGAUCAGCCCGCUCCCGGUAAAACGGGACGGCCCGCCAGAGGACCCCUAAACUCUGUUUCUAUAUGUAACUUCUGAGUAAAACCAUAAAUAAAUCAAAACUUUCAACAACGGAUCUCUUGGUUCUGGCAUCGAUGAAGAACGCAGCAAAAUGCGAUAAGUAAUGUGAAUUGCAGAAUUCAGUGAAUCAUCGAAUCUUUGAACGCACAUUGCGCCCGCCAGUAUUCUGGCGGGCAUGCCUGUUCGAGCGUCAUUUCAACCCUCAAGCACAGCUUGGUGUUGGGACUCGCGUUAAUUCGCGUUCCUCAAAUUGAUUGGCGGUCACGUCGAGCUUCCAUAGCGUAGUAGUAAAACCCUCGUUACUGGUAAUCGUCGCGGCCACGCCGUUAAACCCCAACUUCUGA